rnacentral:rRNA from 1 species
UACGUAGGGAGCAAGCGUUGUCCGGAAUCAUUGGGCGUAAAGAGCGCGUAGGCGGUCCGGUAAGUCGGUUGUGAAAACUGGGGGCUCAACCCUCAGAGGCCGACCGAUACUGCCGGGCUAGAGUCCGGAAGAGGCGAGUGGAAUUCCUGGUGUAGCGGUGAAAUGCGCAGAUAUCAGGAGGAACACCGGUGGCGAAGGCGGAUCUCUGGGCCUUACCUGACGCUCAGGCGCGAAAGCUAGGGGAGCGAACUGG